GUGACUGUAGCGUGCCGAGGGGCUCACGUGGAUCUGUGGCUGAGUCUGGAGCUGAGACGUGUUCAACGAGGACUCCUACGAGGCAGCAGAGCUGAUGCGCUGAUCAUUAAUGGCCGAGGCUGCUCACACCAAAGUGAGUGGCAGGAUUCUCCAGUCCAGUGAGCACAGCUCCAUCAGCUGGUGGAGUUCAGUCAACACACCUGCUCUCAACAACCAGCAGUGUGCUCAAACAUCGGUUUCUCCUCCAUCCUACACGAUGUUUUACACUCCAGAAGCAGUAAAUCAGGAUUACAUCACCUCUCUGUAGAAGGAAACUUUCCAAGUGUCCUUAUUUUGGAUUCUUGUGUCCUUCUCAGUUCCUUCCUGGUGUGUGUGCUGGACUGGAUCCUCUGGCUCUGUGCCACCCUUUACUUAAUAAAAAUCAUUGAAACUUG